GGGUCUUGUUUAGGCCCUGUUUAGUUCCCCACCCAAAAAUUUUUCAUCCAUCCCAUCGAAUCUUUGGACAGUUUACCAUUUACACUUGCUACCUUUGUUUUAUUGGCAAAACUAGAAAUUUGAUGCUCCAACAGUUUGACUAGUACCAUCUUGGAGGCUUGCAGUUCGGGCCUUGUUUAGUUUCUUCCUGAAAUUUUUUCGCGAUACUGUAGCAGUUUCGUUUGUUUGUGUUAAUUAUUGUCCAAUCAUAGACUAACUAGACUUAAAAGAUUUAUCUCGUAAAUUUCGAUCAAACUGUGCAAUUAUUUUUCAUUUUGUUUAUAUUUAAUACUUCAUGCAUGUGUCUAAAAAUUCGAUGUGACAGGAAAUUUUGAAAAGUUUUUGGAUUUUGGGUAAAAGUAAACAAGGCCUCGGCCCUGUGUACUCCAGCACAUGGUCACAGUGAUCACUGUAGCUACUCGUACUAGUCCUAGCUGGAGGCCUCUUGUAGCUGCUUGUAGCCACGACAAUGC
rnacentral:lncRNA from 1 species